GUGUCAGCAGCCGCGGUAAUACGGAGGUGGCGAGCGUUGUUCGGAAUUAUUGGGCUUAAAGCGCGUGUAGGCGGGACGGCAAGUGUCGGGUGAAAGCCCUCGGCUCAACCGAGGAAUGGCCUGGCAAACUGCCGUCCUUGAGGCAGGCAGAGGUGGCUAGAACGACGGGUGGAGCGGUGAAAUGCGUAGAUAUCCGUUGGAAUGCCAGCGGCGAAAGCAGGCCACUGGGCCUGUCCUGACGCUGAGACGCGAAAGCGUGGGGAGCAAACAGGAUUAGAAACCCCAGUAGUCC
rnacentral:rRNA from 1 species